UCAAGAACAGGAAAGCUUCCUGGCUGUUUCACGCCCACCCGCACUGCCGCAAUCUCCCAUUCUAGUAUUGCUAGACAACGACAAGCUGAUUUAUUUGAUGGAUGUUCUCCACCCAGGCAGCAUUCUUGUUCUUGAUCCUAUGUGUUUUCUUUAGCCAGUUGGUAGGUCUCCGUCAUCUGCACCAUAUGUAUCUUCGUACAGUGCACCAUUCUCCCAGGCAACUCAGUCUUACAUAGUUUCCCUAUGUCAACAUCACCAGCCCUGUUCUCUGUUGUAAUUCCUUAGGCCCCAGCAGGAAGGAUC